UGGGGAAUUUUGGACAAUGGGCGAAAGCCUGAUCCAGCAAUGCCGCGUGUGUGAAGAAGGCCUUCGGGUUGUAAAGCACUUUUGUCCGGAAAGAAAUCCUUGGCUCUAAUACAGCCGGGGGAUGACGGUACCGGAAGAAUAAGCACCGGCUAACUACGUGCCAGCAGCCGCGGUAAUACGUAGGGUGCAAGCGUUAAUCGGAAUUACUGGGCGUAAAGCGUGCGCAGGCGGUUUGCUAAGACCGAUGUGAAAUCCCCGGGCUCAACCUGGGAACUGCAUUGGUGACUGGGCAGGCUAGAGUAUGGCAGAGGGGGGUAGAAUUCCACGUGUAGCAGUGAAAUGCGUAGAGAUGUGGAGGAAUACCGAUAGCGAAGGCAGCCCCCUGGGCCAAUACUGACGCUCAUGCACGAAAGCGUGGGGAGCAAACAGGAUUCAGAUACCCUGGUAGUCCACGCCCUAAACGAUGUCAACUAGUUGUUGGGGAUUCAUUUCCUUAGUAACGUAGCUAACGCGUGAAGUUGACCGCCUGGGGAGUACGGUCG
rnacentral:rRNA from 1 species